rnacentral:rRNA from 1 species
GACGAACGCUGGCGGCGUGCUUAACACAUGCAAGUCGAACGCUGAGGCUUGGUGCUUGCACUGGGUGGAUGAGUGGCGAACGGGUGAGUAAUACGUGAGUAACCUGCCCUUGACUCUGGGAUAAGCCUGGGAAACUGGGUCUAAUACUGGAUACGACAUGUCACCGCAUGGUGGUGUGUGGAAAGGGGUUUACUGGUUUUGGAUGGGCUCACGGCCUAUCAGCUUGUUGGUGGGGUAAUGGCUCACCAAGGCGACGACGGGUAGCCGGCCUGAGAGGGUGACCGGCCACACUGGGACUGAGACACGGCCCAGACUCCUACGGGAGGCAGCAGUGGGGAAUAUUGCACAAUGGGCGGAAGCCUGAUGCAGCGACGCCGCGUGAGGGAUGACGGCCUUCGGGUUGUAAACCUCUUUCAGCACGGAAGAAGCGAAAGUGACGGUACGUGCAGAAGAAGCGCCGGCUAACUACGUG